rfam:Selaginella moellendorffii unplaced genomic scaffold SELMOscaffold_504, whole genome shotgun sequence.
CGACCUCAGGUCAGGCAAGACAACCCGCUGAGUUUAAGCAUAUCACUAAGCGGAGGAAAAGAAACUAACAAGGAUUUCCCUAGUAGCGGCGAGCGAAACGGAAAGAGCCCAGCUUGGAAAUCGGGGUGUCUCUGCACCCCGAAUUGUAGUCUGGAGAAGGGUCCUCUGCAGCGGACCGGGUUUAAGUCCCUUGGAACGGGACGCCAGAGAGGGUGAGAGCCCCGUCUAGCCCGGACCCUGCUGCAUCACGAGGCUCUUUCGGCGAGUCGGGCUGUUUGGGAAUGCAGCCUUAAGUGGGUGGUAAAUUCCAUCCAAGGCUAAAUACUGGUGAGAGACCGAUAGCGCACAAGUACCGCGAGGGAAAGAUGAAAAGGACUUUGAAAAGAGAGUUAAAAAGUGCUUGAAAUUGCUGGGAGGGAAGCGAAUGGAUGCCUUGUGCGCCCCUUGGUUGUGUGUGGAACGGCGAGAGCUGGUCUGCCAAGCAAUGCAAGGGGCUGUCCAGCAUGGGAGGACGCGGCGGGAUAACGGCUUGUGAGCCUCUGGCUCCCUGCCAAUGCCGCCGCUGCCUCUGAAAAUGGCGGGGUGCUCCGGUGCCCCGCCAGAUGCUGGAACUUGGGCGUUCCAUCCGACCCGUCUUGAAACACGGACCAAGGAGUCUAACAUGUAUGCGAGUCUGUGGGUGUUAAACCCGUACAGGCGAAAGGAAACUAAUUCGUGGGAUCCCCUUCGGGGGUGCACCACGGACCGACCUUGAUCUUUUGAGAAGGGUUUGAGUGUUAGCAUACCUGCUGGGACCCGAAAGAUGGUGAACUAUGCCUGAGCAGGGCGAAGCCAGAGGAAACUCUGGUGGAGGCUCGUAGCGAUACUGACGUGCAAAUCGUUCGUCAGACUUGGGUAUAGGGGCGAAAGACUAAUCGAACCAUCUAGUAGCUGGUACCCUCCGAAGUUUCCCUCAGGAUAGCUGGAGCUCUUGCUGAGUUUUAUCGGGUAAAGCGAAUGAUUAGAGGCAUCGGGGGUGAAACACCCUCGACCUAUUCUCAAACUUUAAAUAGGUAAAGCAGCCGGGGUUGCUCUGUUGAGCCCCGGCCGUGAAUGCGAGCUCCAAGUGGGCCAUUUUUGGUAAGCAGAACUGGCGAUGCGGGAUGAACCGAAAGCCGGGCUACGGUGCCAAAGUGCGCGCUAACCCAGAUCCCACAAAGGGUGUUGAUUGAUUAAGACAGCAGGACGGUGGUCAUGGAAGUCAAAAUCCGCUAAGGAGUGUGUAACAACUCACCUGCCGAAUCAACUAGCCCCGAAAAUGGAUGGCGCUUAAGCGCGCGGCCUAUGCCCGGCCAUCGCGGCGAUUGCGAGGCCCCGAUGAGUAGGAGGGCGUGGGGGUCGUGGUGCAGCUCUGGGCGCGAGCCCGAGUGAAACGGCCCCCAGUGCAGAUCUUGGUGGUAGUAGCAAGUAUUCAAAUGAGAACUUUGAAGACUGAAGUGGAGAAAGGUUCCAUGUGAACAGCAAUUGGACAUGGGUUAGUCGAUCCUAAGAGAUGGGGAAAUCCUGUGUGAAGGGCGCAAUGCGUGCCGCCCAUCGAAAGGGAAUCGGGUUAAUAUUCCCGAACCGGGACAAGGCAGUGGGCGGUAACGCCGACGAAUCCAGAGACACUGGCGGGGGCCCCGGGAAGAGUUAUCUUUUCUUUUUAACGGCCUGCCGACCCUGAAAUCGGUUCAACCGGAGAUAGGGUCUCACGGCCGGCAGAGCACCGCACGUCCUGCGGUGUCCGGUGCGCCCCCGGCGGUCCUUGAAAAUCUGGAGGAGCGAGUGCUGAGCUUGCCCGGUCGUACUCAUAACCGCAUCAGGUCUCCAAGGUGAGCAGCCUCUAGUCGAUGGAACAAUGUAGGUAAGGGAAGUCGGCAAAAUGGAUCCGUAACUUCGGGAAAAGGAUUGGCUCUGAGGGUUGGGCUUAGGGGUCUGCGGCUUGACCCUGUAGGCUGCUGGCGGUCUGCCCGAGCUGCUUGCGCGGCGAGGGCGGGCCCCGGCGUGCCGACCUGGUGACGGACGCAGAACGCCCCUCCCCGCGGGGGGCAUUCCCUAGGCAUCGAACAACCGACUCAGAACUGGAACGGACAAGGGGAAUCCGACUGUUUAA